rnacentral:lncRNA from 1 species
CACAGCUGGAGUGCCCUCUGGUACAAGAGUCACCCCUGGGAGCUCCAACUCAGAGGCCACAACUUCUGUAGAAGAAAGCAGAAUAACAAGAGCCGAAGUAAUCACAGAGGCCACAACUUUCUCAGGAGGCAGCGGGGCCACCUGAGCAGGAUUACCCAGAGGUACCACUGGAGAAUUUUCUGGAACGAACUUUAUAUCUGGAAGUUCUAACACAGAGGCCACCACUUCCACAGAAGGGACAGGUACUUCUGGAACUGGAUUCAAAAUUGCAGGCAUCACUUCUGCCCCAGGGAAACAAGCAGGCACCUCUGGGGUAUCUCUUGCCACAACAGUUGCCCCUGGAAGCUUCAGCACAGCCACAACUUCUUCUGGAGCAAGUGGAAUAACUAGGGCUGGCCCCAACUCAGGU